CCUACGGGGGGCUGCAGUGAGGAAUAUUGGUCAAUGAACGCAAGUCUGAACCAGCCAUGCCGCGUGCAGGAAGACGGCUCUAUGAGUUGUAAACUGCUUUUGUACGAGGGUAAACGCAGAUACGCGUAUCUGUCUGAAAGUAUCGUACGAAUAAGGAUCGGCUAACUCCGUGCCAGCAGCCGUGGUACUACGGAGGAUUCGAGCGUUAUCCGGAUUUGUUGGGUUUAAAGGGUGCGUAGGGUGGCGGAUAAGUUAGAGGUGAAAUGCCGAGGCUCAACCUCGGAAUUGCCUCUGAUACUGUUCGGCUAGAGAGUAGUUGCGGUAGGCGGAAUGUAUGGUGUAGCGGUGAAAUGCUUAGAGAUCAUACAGAACACCGAUUGCGAAGGCAGCUUACCAAGCUACUUCUGACGUUGAGGCACGAAAGCGUGGGGAGCAAACAGGAUUAGAUACCCCGGUAGUC
rnacentral:rRNA from 1 species